AUGAAAUGCUUCCUCCUCUCUGUUUUCCCAUCAAGUAUCGAUAUUAGAUUAGAUUACAGUAUAUGCUGGCUGUGUUUACUACUGGCAUGUUAUCUACCAUAGCUGACCCUGUAAUUCACAAACUCUUGCUUUUGUGUGAUCUCUUAUUGUUUGGACAGGGUGAUAAUCCUGAGAUCGCAUAACAGCCCUCAUUAAAAUGAAUUAAUUCAGAAAUUGAAGCUCUUAGUGUGAUGCAAAAGCCGUUUAUCGCACUCUUAUUACGGACCUAUCCCAGUUUUGUGGCACAAACUGUAAUUUUAAAAUACUUACUUUCGUAUUUCUUGAGUAGCUGUGAUCAAAACGUACGGUUAGACUGAAAUAAAGUAAAAAAGUCAUGCUUCACAUAAUUUCUACCAUUUGUUUUUGAUUUGAUUAGCAGAGCAGAGGAACUUACGCCGCGCCGUUUAUUUAUCUUAUUUCAUUCUUCGUAUGAGUGUGAGCUUGAAAAGGAAAAAGAAAAUGAAGAAGAGAUGGUGUUCAAUUUCUAGAUUCCGUAUUGGCACGCUGAACUAAAAUCAAGGCACCACCGAUGUGUAACAUAAACAAGCGCAGAGACUUUAAACAAAUCUCAAUCCUCAACGCACUCUCUCCAAUACCCACCGUUUCAUCUAAAAAAGAGCCAUCAUGAUGUCAUAGAAGGCAUACCUGGUAAAUGGACCACAUUUUUCAAUAAGGAACUAUUAUUUCUGGCUCAUUUUUAAGAAACAACGUCUGCAACAUUACCCUGAUGAGCCACGAAUAGUUCAUCCAUAUUGCAAAGUGUCAUGGCCGGAUUUAUCUACUUGCCGCUCAUGGGCCGCCUGUAUUUUGCCGCCCUCUUCUCAUUCAUUUUAAAACAUCUAUAAAAACCAUCAAGUGAACGUGCCGGAGGAAGAAGGGUGCAUAAGACGCGUUCACUCGUGAUAGACACAUUUUUUUCGUAAGCCUUGUCAACGCUAAUAGCAAAAGUUCACGGAACUUCGCGCGGAAGCUCAGUUCCGUAAACCUACCUCUGCGGGGACAAGGCCUUUCAUUUGUGAGAAAUGAACUAAAAAAUUAAGAAAGAAUAAAUAGUCCGAGAGCCCGAUGGCAUUUUGUGACAAACUCCUGACACAAGUUUUGACCACUUAAAUCGAUAGCCUGACAUGCACUGCGACACUGAAAAUGAUGAUUCGCCACGUUGUAGUGCGUGACAACGCGUGACAGACAACCAUUUUCCGUGUCGGUUCAGAUUUGAGUAUGGUCAAAAUUGCGUCCCAACUUUGUCACAAAAUAACGUCGGGCUCUCGAACUAAAACAUUAA